rnacentral:rRNA from 1 species
UGCCCUGCACUCUGGGAUAAGCCCGGGAAACUGGGUCUAAUACCGGAUACGACACUCCGAGGCAUCUUGGGGUGUGGAAAGUUCCGGCGGUGCAGGAUGAGCCCGCGGCCUAUCAGCUUGUUGGUGGGGUAAUGGCCUACCAAGGCGACGACGGGUAGCCGGCCUGAGAGGGUGACCGGCCACACUGGGACUGAGACACGGCCCAGACUCCUACGGGAGGCAGCAGUGGGGAAUAUUGCACAAUGGGCGAAAGCCUGAUGCAGCGACGCCGCGUGAGGGAUGACGGCCUUCGGGUUGUAAACCUCUUUCAGCAGGGAAGAAGCGAAAGUGACGGUACCUGCAGAAGAAGCACCGGCUAACUACGUGCCAGCAGCCGCGGUAAUACGUAGGGUGCGAGCGUUGUCCGGAAUUAUUGGGCGUAAAGAGCUCGUAGGCGGUUUGUCGCGUCGAUUGUGAAAGCCCGGGGCUUAACCCUGGGUCUGCAGUCGAUACGGGCAGGCUAGAGUUCGGCAGGGGAGACUGGAAUUCCUGGUGUAGCGGUGAAAUGCGCAGAUAUCAGGAGGAACACCGGUGGCGAAGGCGGGUCUCUGGGCCGAUACUGACGCUGAGGAGCGAAAGCGUGGGGAGCGAACAGGAUUAGAUACCCUGGUAGUCCACGCCGUAACGGUGGGCACUAGGUGUGGGCAACAUUCCACGUUGUCCGUGCCGCAGCUAACGCAU